rnacentral:rRNA from 1 species
CGGUUGUCCCGGUUUAAGCGUGUAGGUGUGUGUUCCAGGUAAAUCCGGUUCACUUUAACACUGAGGCGUGAUGACGAGGCACUACGGUGCUGAAGCAACAAAUGCCCUGCUUCCAGGAAAAGCCUCUAAGCAUCAGGUAACAUCAAAUCGUACCCCAAACCGACACAGGUGGUCAGGUAGAGAAUACCAAGGCGCUUGAGAGAACUCGGGUGAAGGAACUAGGCAAAAUGGUGCCGUAACUUCGGGAGAAGGCACGCUGACACGUAGGUGAAGUGAUUUACUCAUGGAGCUGAAGUCAGUCGAAGAUACCAGCUGGCUGCAACUGUUUAUUAAAAACACAGCACUGUGCAAACACGAAAGUGGACGUAUACGGUGUGACGCCUGCCCGGUGCCGGAAGGUUAAUUGAUGGGGUCAGCGCAAGCGAAGCUCCUGAUCGAAGCCCCGGUAAACGGCGGCCGUAACUAUAACGGUCCUAAGGUAGCGAAAUUCCUUGUCGGGUAAGUUCCGACCUGCACGAAUGGCGUAAUGAUGGCCAGGCUGUCUCCACCCGAGACUCAGUGAAAUUGAACUCGCUGUGAAGAUGCAGUGUACCCGCGGCAAGACGGAAAGACCCCGUGAACCUUUACUAUAGCUUGACACUGAACAUUGAGCCUUGAUGUGUAGGAUAGGUGGGAGGCUUUGAAGUGUGGACGCCAGUCUGCAUGGAGCCGACCUUGAAAUACCACCCUUUAAUGUUUGAUGUUCUAACGUGGACCCGUGAUCCGGGUUGCGGACAGUGUCUGGUGGGUAGUUUGACUGGGGCGGUCUCCUCCUAAAGAGUAACGGAGGAGCACGAAGGUUGGCUAAUCCUGGUCGGACAUCAGGAGGUUAGUGCAAUGGCAUAAGCCAGCUUGACUGCGAGCGUGACGGCGCGAGCAGGUGCGAAAGCAGGUCAUAGUGAUCCGGUGGUUCUGAAUGGAAGGGCCAUCGCUCAACGGAUAAAAGGUACUCCGGGGAUAACAGGCUGAUACCGCCCAAGAGUUCAUAUCGACGGCGGUGUUUGGCACCUCGAUGUCGGCUCAUCACAUCCUGGGGCUGAAGUAGGUCCCAAGGGUAUGGCUGUUCGCCAUUUAAAGUGGUACGCGAGCUGGGUUUAGAACGUCGUGAGACAGUUCGGUCCCUAUCUGCCGUGGGCGCUGGAGAACUGAGGGGGGCUGCUCCUAGUACGAGAGGACCGGAGUGGACGCAUCACUGGUGUUCGGGUUGUCAUGCCAAUGGCACUGCCCGGUAGCUAAAUGCGGAAGAGAUAAGUGCUGAAAGCAUCUAAGCACGAAACUUGCCCCGAGAUGAGUUCUCCCUGAGACUUUAGGUCUCCUGAAGGAACGUUGAAGACGACGACGUUGAUAGGCCGGGUGUGUAAGCGCAGCGAUGCGUUGAGCUAACCGGUACUAAUGAACCGUGAGGCUUAACCUUACA